ACAGCUGGGGGCGGCAUUAACCAGAUGGCGCGUCUGUCCCGCACAUUCGCCCUAUCUUGCUUCUAGAAUUCCGGCAGGCAAGCUCUCCUUGCCCGGUGCCACCCCUCCAGGACCCUUCUUUGGAAGAGAGGCCUCCAGGUGCUGACAUGUGGCGUGAAAGCGCCGGCCCCCUGCCAAGCACACUCCAGCAGGGCCACCAGCCCCCAAGUUCCCCUCACACACACUGCUGGCUCACGUCUUAGCACCCACUCUUCAGUGCGAACAGAGACGAGUAUUACCAUCGUGGGGGAAACCAAAACAAGAUGUGAGGUUUGGAGCGGGUGCGACCAUCUCAUCCCGGUAAAGCGGACCACGGCUGACACGCUGGAGGUGGCGGGGUGGACUGCUGGAAGCCACCUGGGCCCUUGGUGA
rnacentral:lncRNA from 1 species